rnacentral:rRNA from 1 species
GCCUCACCGCGAGUACUGGUCCGGCUGGACCUUUCCUUCUGGGGAACCUCAUGGCCUUCACUGGCUGUGGGGGGAACCAGGACUUUUACUGUGAAAAAAUUAGAGUGUUCAAAGCAGGCCUUUGCUCGAAUACAUUAGCAUGGAAUAAUAGAAUAGGACGUGCGGUUCUAUUUUGUUGGUUUCUAGGACCGCCGUAAUGAUUAAUAGGGAUAGUCGGGGGCGUCAGUAUUCAGCUGUCAGAGGUGAAAUUCUUGGAUUUGCUGAAGACUAACUACUGCGAAAGCAUUCGCCAAGGAUGUUUUCAUUAAUCAGGGAACGAAAGUUAGGGGAUCGAAGACGAUCAGAUACCGUCGUAGUCUUAACCAUAAACUAUGCCGACUAGGGAUCGGACGGGAUUCUAUGAUGACCCGUUCGGCACCUUACGAGAAAUCAAAGUUUUUGGGUUCUGGGGGGAGUAUGGUCGCAAGGCUGAAACUUAAAGAAAUUGACGGAAGGGGCA